GAUGAACGCUGGCGGCGUGCCUAAUACAUGCAAGUCGAGCGAACAGACGAGGAGCUUGCUCCUCUGACGUUAGCGGCGGACGGGUGAGUAACACGUGGAUAACCUACCUAUAAGACUGGGAUAACUUCGGGAAACCGGAGCUAAUACCGGAUAAUAUAUUGAACCGCAGGGUUCAAUAGUGAAAGACGGUUUUGCUGUCACUUAUAGAUGGAUCCGCGCCGCAUUAGCUAGUUGGUAAGGUCACGGCUUACCAAGGCAACGAUGCGUAGCCGACCUGAGAGGGGGAUCGGCCGCACUGGAGCUGGGACACCGUCCAGACUCCUACGGGAGGCAGCAGUAGGGAAUCUUCCGCAAUGGGCGAAAGCCUGACGGAGCAACGCCGCGUGAGUGAUGAAGGUCUUCGGAUCGUAAAACUCUGUUAUUAGUGAAGAACAAAUGUGUAAGUAACUAUGCACGUCUUGACGGUACCUAAUCAGAAAGCCACGGCUAACUACGUG
rnacentral:rRNA from 1 species